AUUGAACGCUGGCGGAAUGCUUUACACAUGCAAGUCGAACGGCAGCACGGACUUCGGUCUGGUGGCGAGUGGCGAACGGGUGAGUAAUGUAUCGGAACGUGCCCAGUCGUGGGGGAUAACGUAGUGAAAAUUACGCUAAUACCGCAUACGAUCUAUGGAUGAAAGCGGGGGAUCGCAAGACCUCGCGCGAUUGGAGCGGCCGAUAUCAGAGUAGGUAGUUGGUGGGGCAAAGGCCCACCAAGCCAACGAUCUGUAGCUGGUCUGAGAGGACGGCCAGCCACACUGGAACUGAGACACGGUCCAGACUCCUACGGGAGGCAGCAGUGGGGAAUUUUGGACAAUGGGCGAAAGCCUGAUCCAGCCAUUCCGCGUGCAGGAUGAAGGCCCUCGGGUUGUAAACUGCUUUUGUACAGAACGAAAAGGUUUCUACUAAUACUAGGAGCUCAUGACGGUACUGUAAGAAUAAGCACCGGCUAACUACGUGCCAGCCGCCGCAGUAA
rnacentral:rRNA from 1 species